UCUUAUUGUUUAUAAAAGCACCCUUCCAACUGUUACUCAAUUACAUAUGUUCUGAGAAGCGACACAAGAUUUUCGGUCGCACGUGAAUUAACACAGACUGACCGAAUAAACAAACGGGUGGGAAAACGAUACACGUUGAGAAGAAAAUGUUACACAUAAGGAGAAGUCACCCAAAAGGAUUUUCGACAGAUCUGGAUAUCUUUUCGCCAACUUAAAAAAAAUCAAGCGCGAGCACUUGUCAGCGGGGCGGGAGGAGGGGGGGGGGGGGGGGGGGGCGCAGCAAUGAGUUCGCUUCCACACUGAAACGAACAACCAUGUAGAAAAAACUACAGAGUGAUUAAUAUGUGGCCGAUAGAACCUAAUCUUAAGUUGUUUAAAACUCGUGUGAAUAUUCUUUAAAUAAUCAUCAAAUGCCUCAAUUCAGGACAUUCUUUUAUCGUGCUAGCACCUACCGCAAACAUGUAACAUGGAACUUUGAUUAUAAUUUGAUUUGAUUUUUAAACUACCUUGUACGCUAUCGUAUAAUUAAAUCAAUGCUUAAUCAACUGUACAAGUAAAAUAAAUUUAUCUUUUCAUCUUAAACCUAUAAUAGUUGAAAACAUAAUAAAAUAUAGUUCUGUCCGUGCAAAAUAUGAAACAUGAACGCGUGGUAAGGUACAUGUAGAAGAACACGAACCGACCGCGCAUCACUUGUCCACUCGCGCUGGAUCUCCUCGGCCAUGUGCGAGGGAUGAUCAUCAUUUAAUAUUUGUGUGUGUGUGGGUGGGGGGGGGGGGGGGGGGGGGUUAAACAUUUUUAGAUAUACAAACUAACCAUUAAUUUAUGUCUGACGAUGUUUUCAAUUUGGAGUAAUAUCGUUCAUUAAUAUUCACUUACACUCAAAUUUUUAAUAAAAUAAAUACUAGAUGGACAAACUUUUAUAACAUAAACAGUUCUUGUAUUUACGGCUAUAUAAACUCAAACACGUUCAUAUUCAUCUAAGUGUACGUCGCGGUGUACGAAACUUGUGUAUUAGAUAACCGCUUACCGCUAGGUAAUGCAGCCGUGGCUGAUCUCCUCGGCCGUGGACGAAGGAUAGAUUACGUAAAGGUACAACGCACAGCUCAGUACCCAGGAAGAUUUUAAAAGUUUGCAGUAUAAUGACCAUAUUCUAUCAAAUAGAAGUUCUUUAUUUUAAACUUGAAACCCACAAUUGAUCUAUGUCUGACAUUGCUUUAGAUUGAGAAUGACAUUGCUUUUAUUAAUUAACUGAACGAUUUCGUAAUUGAGACCUAAUCGUUUAGUCCAUAAACUUUUAUGUGUAAUCAAAACUAAAACAAUUCUUGAGUUUGCGGCUAAAUAAACUCAUAUUUGAGAGACGCAACUCUUGUGUAUUAGAUAACCGCUGACAGCUAGGUAGCCCAGCCGCGACCAUGGUGACCGAUAUUCUCGGCCGCGGGCGAGGGAGAGUUUCGUUAACUUGGCCAAAUUGCCGCGAGAACUGGUCAACACGUAUUACUUUUUACCCUCAUAUUAUGCAAAACAUGAACACAAAAACAGUUUGAUAAGAUCAAUAAAGUCACAAACAACAUUUUUUGCAGCGACGCCCAUAUCGAAAAAUUUACCGUUUUAGAGUUAUGAGGCAAAGACUUUUAAGGGAUCUAGACCCCUCAUUUUAGGGGUUAGCCCCUUUUUUAUAGUAUCAAAUGAAAGCUCUUAAUAUUCUGCACAACUUUUGUUCUAUAUGUGACUAGAAAAAAUUUAUAACUAAAAAGUUAUUGAGCAAAUAUAUAAGCAAAAUUUAACAUUUUUUGAAACAUAAAUUUCGAUGUAAUUUUUUAAGAAGUAAACGUGGGUUAAUGAAACAUGUAAAACUAGGAGGACAACGUUCAAGAUGUCUACAUUAAAGAUUUGUAAAUUAAAACUACUUGCUACGGAUCAACUCGGAGCCUUUGCAGGUACACGAGACCCACUAAAAAAAUAUUCAAAGGGGAAUAACUCAAAACCGGAAGUAGCGAUUUCACAAAAUUUUGUGCUAUAAUAAGCUAUUGUCAUUUCCAAUAAACCCUGAAAAUUUGAAUAAAAUCUAAUGACAAACAAGCGAGAUAUUACAGUUUAAAGAAACGUCUAGAAG
rnacentral:sRNA from 1 species